CAUUUAUGUGUGAAAGCUCUGCCACAGCCCUGAGGAACAUGGAAUUAAAAGUUUGUAGCUCCCUGGGUGACUUCUUGGUGAUAGCUUUUGUGCAAGCCUGGUUUCAGUUCUGUUUCCUAAAAUUGCAGCUCAAAAUCCUGGAAGUAUUUCUUUAUGCACCAAAGUGACAGACCUCCAUGGAGCCUGCACACAGCUCUGCCAGCUGCUGAGAAUUUCGUGUCUGAACAGCUGUCAAGGCAAAAGCUCAGCUGUGUGAAUCAUUAAAACUGCUUCUCAGCUCGCCACUGUCACAGAAAUAUGGGAUGUGAGAAGCUCAAAUCCAGUUCUUCAAAUGCUCAAAGGAGGGAGACCAGCUGUCCCACCGACCAAGAAAUCAUUUGGCUCACAAGGCUGCAAGGUCUGUUCAGAGGAGAGGCUUCAUCUCCUUGAAGCCCAACCAUGCACUUGUUUGGCAAGGAGGAAAGCAAGUGUGAGUGUGUUGGUUCAUCCCUCCCCCGCUCCUGUUCAGGCCUUUCCACAAGAUCUUGGUGGGGAAGCAUCUCUUGAUCAUACUGGGAACUCUUGGAAAGCUAAGGUGGGUGGCAGUACUGACCGUACCAGGAACUCCUGCUGCCUCACGUAGGUGGGAGAUGACAGAGGGAAUAAUCAGUCAUCCCCUGACAGCCUUGGAAUGUUCCUUAUCUGAAAUGUAGCUCAAGUGGGACAGUACCAUCCUCACUGGAAUUUCAAAAAUUCCAGUAACAACUAACCCAGAUUGCAGCUAGGAUGAAAAUAUAUCAAGGGCUUAAGACAACCAUCUCACAGCCCUAAAAACGUGGUCCUAAGAGAGACCCUUUGAGCUCUUCUGGACUGCAGUGGGCUGCAUCAGUAUUUCCCUCUCUCUGGGAUGCCUCUCAGAGUGCCCAAACUCUCAAGUAUGCGAAAUUCAGAGAAGCGUCACCUGGCAACAGAACCUGGACUGAUAUCCCACUCCUCGAGCCUCAAUACCCCACCUCGCCCCCAUUAAGAAAUGCCAAAAAGGCAUUAGACAUGUUUCACUGAUUCUUGAGGGGAAUGUUUUAAUACAUAUACCUGUGUACUUAUACUUUACAUAUCCAUGCCUGUGUGUGUAUUACCUUUGUACAUUUGCAUACACAUAUCUGCGUGUGUGCCUUGACUUGGACACCCAAUAGCAAAUAUAGUAUACGUGUUAUUAUCUUGAAUCCAUAACUGUUAUCACUGUUUAGAGUUGAUCCUUGGUUAAUCUAAUAUUUAAGUGCUUCUAGAUCCUUUAGACAUAAACAAUUGACCACGUCUGAGCCUAAGAUCGGAUCCAGCCAUAUGUGGGAACCUUUCUGAGAAGCAGUUUGGAAAGCAAGGGAGUCCACUCUGAAUCUCAAGACCCACCAGAGAGUCUCCCUUAAUCUUUCCUUCCUUACCCCUUUCUACAUCCCUGGCCUCCAUAUAAAUCACUCUAAAUUGAUGCUAAUUUGGUUUUCCUCUAUAUAUAUUAUCCAUGCAGUAGGUAUUAGAGUAAGCCUUGUCAUCGAAC